rnacentral:rRNA from 1 species
UACGGAGGGUGCAAGCGUUAUCCGGAUUUAUUGGGCUUAAAGGGUCCGCAGGCGGACUAUUAAGUCAGUGGUGAAAGCCCACAGCUCAACUGUGGAAUUGCCAUUGAUACUGGUAGUCUUGAGUGCGUAUGAAGUUGGCGGAAUGUGUGGUGUAGCGGUGAAAUGCUUAGAUAUCACACAGAACACCGAUUGCGAAGGCAGCUGACUAAUACGUUACUGACGCUCAGGGACGAAAGUGUGGGGAUCAAACAGG